UACGUAGGGUGCGAGCGUUGUCCGGAAUUAUUGGGCGUAAAGAGCUCGUAGGCGGUGUGUCGCGUCGGCCGUGAAAACUUGGGGCUUAACUCUGGGCGUGCGGUCGAUACGGGCAUCACUGGAGUUCGGCAGGGGAGACUGGAAUUCCUGGUGUAGCGGUGAAAUGCGCAGAUAUCAGGAGGAACACCGAUGGCGAAGGCGGUUCUCUGGGCAUUACCUGACGCUGAGGAGCGAAAGUGUGGGGAGCGAACAGG
rnacentral:rRNA from 1 species